GCCUCAUGCUACGAGACUGAGUUGUAAGAUUUUUGUGUUGUAUUUAGUGUCUAGAUAGCCUGUGACUCACUUGAUCUGUCUUCGCCAGACUUUAUUAAUGCAAAAAGAUGAAGGUGAACGGGGCUGGGCAUGUAGCGCGCAUGGGAUAAAUGACAUGCACACUGAAUUUGUCUCAAAGCCUGGGAGACCCAAAGGUAGAUGUCAGCACAUAUAUGGAUGGCAAGGAAAAGUAUGAGCUGGGUUCAAAUGACCCUGUGCAGGGACCAGUGACGGACGCCUAGGAGUUUGUAAUCAUUCGUUCAGUGUAGCCUCCAACAACUGUUAACUUCUAUAAAAAAAUAUUUAGAAAUAAGAAUAUACAAAGCGGUGGAGAUGUGUAAUUCUUUAGAUCCAGCGUGCUUGGAUUUGUUAAUUGGUAAAGGUAAAUAAAUGGCUAGUUAGGAGGUUAAUUGUUGAAGCUGUGCCAGUGGAACAGUCUGGAAAUUGCAGGAAACCCGGUGAAGAAGCAGAUACUGGGUGUAGUGUUCCAGGCUAGCAGUGUUUAUUAAGAUAAAGAUUUUCAAUGCUGCGUGUGUAGUUGGUAAUUGUGCAGACGCCCUUGGACAAAACACUAGCUUGGCCAGAAUUAAUUUUGUCUGUGUUGAUCUCAAUAAACCCAGAUUAAAAAACUGUAAAAACGAUGUCCAGCAACGGUCAACAAUCAGCAUGAAUGAUAUGGCCUCUGUUCUUAUCUCGAAUCCGAUUUGUCAGUCUCUGUCCCUUCCUCCCCUGCAGAAGAUUGCAUACAGCUCGCUAGUUACGCUUGAACCCACGUAAUCACUGCAUAAUAGGAGAUGACGCUUGCACAAAUUUUAUAUUUUCAUGUUAAUAAGAUUGUCAUAAUAAUUUCCUACGAUAUAGAGUAAAAUGUUGGUCCCAGAGGAACAUCGUAGUUGCGAACAGAACUCAUGAAAACAGUUGAGAUCUCUUGGUGCACUCUGGUGGCGCGACCGCUGUAGCAGCUCCAGGUACAGUGUCACCAUCUACUGGUCACUGUAACAACGAAGAACACACACCAGUCUCACGGAAAAAUAGGGACGCGAUUAAAUUGUUUUAACGCCAGAACCACGGACCCGUCGCCAACCACGGAGACGGAGAGACCCGCAGAAUGUGUGUCAGCCCAUGUCAGAGUAAUGCUGAUAAUUCCCAGGACACUGAACAGGAUUACGCAUCAGUUUCGUGGUACCAAACCAAGUAUUAUUCAUGUCCAGCAAUGGAGUGAUCCAGGGCUGACAAAUAAGCCGACCGCCAUUUUUACCAGGGACUUUAAUGUUUAUAUGAGAACCUCGUCAGCGAAAGAAGUCCUGCAGAAAUGUUUUGUGUAGAGUGAACUUCAUUUAAGAAUUCUGACGUUGGUGACACUGUCACAGGUGUUAAACGUCUCAGAACUGCCACUAGGAGCGCUCGAUCGGUUCAACUUCUCAGUUCUUCUGUCGUGUGUAGCCAGCGAUAUUUCGCUUCUCUUACUUUGUGCUAAAAUGUUUUUUCUGUUGUGAUUGCUGUUGAGUAGUGGAAUGGAGAUUGUGCAUUACCACUUCCGCUGUUUUUGCCAGCGAUUGUUACUUGUGAGUAAGAAAUAAAGAAAGAGGAAGGUUGAAAAUCACCUUCAAAUUGGAAGAUGCGCUUUGUUUAAUACUGUAGUAUUAGCCUAGUACAAAUUUAACGGCGUUCCAGAUAUGGUUGCUGCCUCUGAAACGUCGGUAAUUUUGUGCCAGAUUAAACGGUGCAACAUCUGAGAAGAGUCAUGUUCAUAUUCGCCGCCGUGAGAGCCUGAAAUCUCACCAAGCGGAAAAGUUAAUUCCGAAAAUUGCUUAGUGGACAAACAAUGUUUCACGUUGCCUAACCGAACAGGGGCAGUUCCCACUUGUGUUGGAAUGUUUCACUUUGCAGUGUAUUCAUGACUGAUAUUUCUUGCCUCGAAUUGUGUUUAGCAAUUCACUUAUAGAGCGAUUCUGUAAUAAAAUUAGCUGUAAAGGGGGUUUUGGGAUGCAAUUGUCUACCACAAAUAUAAUGACUCAUAGUAAA